rnacentral:rRNA from 1 species
UACGGAGGGGGCUAGCGUUGUUCGGAAUUACUGGGCGUAAAGGGCGCGUAGGCGGCGGUUUAAGUUAGGCGUGAAAGCCCCGGGCUCAACCUGGGAACUGCGCUUGAUACUGGAUCGCUUGAGGACGGAAGAGGGUAGUGGAAUUCCCAGUGUAGAGGUGAAAUUCGUAGAUAUUGGGAAGAACACCAGUGGCGAAGGCGACUACCUGGUCCGUUUCUGACGCUGAGGCGCGAAAGCGUGGGGAGCAAACAGG